CUACGGGUGGCAGCAGUGAGGAAUAUUGGUCAAUGGGCGCAAGCCUGAACCAGCCAUCCCGCGUGGAGGAAGACGGCCCUAUGGGUUGUAAACUCCUUUUAUAAGGGAAGAAUAUACUUAUCGUGAUAUGUUUUGACGGUACCUUAUGAAUAAGCAUCGGCUAACUCCGUGCCAGCAGCCGCGGUAAUACGGAGGAUGCAAGCGUUAUCCGGAUUCAUUGGGUUUAAAGGGUGCGCAGGCGGACCAAUAAGUCAGUGGUGAAAGCUUACGGCUCAACCGUGAAACUGCCAUUGAUACUGUUAGUCUUGAGUACGGCUGAGGUAGGUGGAAUGUGUAAUGUAGCGGUGAAAUGCUUAGAUAUUACACAGAACACCAAUUGCGUAGGCAGCUUACUAGCCCGUAACUGACGCUGAGGCACGAAAGCGUGGGUAGCGAACAGGAUUAGAUACCCCAGUAGUC
rnacentral:rRNA from 1 species